rnacentral:rRNA from 1 species
CAAUAGCGUAUAUUUAAGUUGUUGCAGUUAAAAAGCUCGUAGUCGGAUUUUGGCUGAGAACGAUCGGUCCGCCGUUAGGUGUGCACUGAUUGGUCUCAGCUUCCUGGUGAGGAGGUGUGCUUCACGACCACUUAGUCACCGUGGUUACUUUGAAAAAAUUAGAGUGUUCAAAGCGGGCUUACGCUUGAAUAUAUUAGCAUGGAAUAACACCAUAGGACUCCUGUCCUAUUUCGUUGGUCUCGGGACGGGAGUAAUGAUUAAGAGGAACAGUUGGGGGCAUUCGUAUUUCAUUGUCAGAGGUGAAAUUCUUGGAUUUAUGAAAGACGAACUUCUGCGAAAGCAUUUGCCAAGGAUGUUUUCAUUGA